UGGGGAAUAUUGCGCAAUGGGCGAAAGCCUGACGCAGCGACGCCGCGUGAGGGAUGAAGGUUUUCGGAUCGUAAACCUCUGUCAGAAGGGAAGAAACCGCACUGUGCUAAUCAGCAGUGCCUUGACGGUACCUUCAAAGGAGGCACCGGCUAACUCCGUGCCAGCAGCCGCGGUAAUACGGAGGGUGCAAGCGUUAAUCGGAAUUACUGGGCGUAAAGCGCACGUAGGCUGCUUUGUAAGUCAGGGGUGAAAUCCCACGGCUCAACCGUGGAACUGCCUUUGAUACUGCUUAGCUUGAAUCCGGGAGAGGGUGGCGGAAUUCCAGGUGUAGGAGUGAAAUCCGUAGAUAUCUGGAGGAACAUCAGUGGCGAAGGCGGCCACCUGGACCGGUAUUGACGCUGAGGUGCGAAAGCGUGGGGAGCAAACAGG
rnacentral:rRNA from 1 species